UACGUAGGGGGCAAGCGUUUGUCCGGAAUCAUUGGGCGUAAAGCGCGUGUAGGCGGCUCGAUAAGUCUGCUGUGAAAGUUCAGGCUCAACCCUGAAAUGCCGGUGGAAACUGUCGAGCUAGAGUCCGGAAGAGGCGAGUGGAAUUCCUGGUGUAGCGGUGAAAUGCGCAGAUAUCAGGAGGAACACCGGUGGCGAAGGCGGGUCUCUGGGCCGAUAUUGACGCUGAGGAGCGAAAGCGUGGGGAGCAAACAGG
rnacentral:rRNA from 1 species